CAGGCAAGCUCCAGUAAUGGGUACAAAUCACACAUGAAGUGAUCAAUGGUAUUGGGGCCAUAGAAGGGCCGGUGGAGAGUAAAGAAAAAUUUUGUCAGGGAAUGCAGAAAACUCGCCAUCCAGUCUAUACCAUCAGAAUGCCACAGAGCCUAUAGCUCAUGAUGGUUGUGUAGUGUAGGGGCUUACAGAUGGCCACAUAGUGAUCAUAAGCAAUGGCUCUGAGGACAAUCACCUCCAGCCCAGCAAAGAAGUGUUCAGCAAAGAGCUGGGUCAAGCAAUCUCAAUGGAGAUGGCUUUCGUCUCAUAGAGAGAGUCCACAAUCAUCUUGCGGGGCAAUGACAGUGGAGAAGCAGGCAUCCAGGAAGGACAGGAAAGCCAAGAAAAAGGAACAAGCCUUUUCCUCUCCUUGCAAGAAUGAAGAGCAGGUUGGCCUUUCAACUCUCCACCCAGCUGUAGAGGUUUAAGCCUUCUGAUUCCCUUGUUCAUGUUUGGAUGAGGCCUUUUGAUGAAGAAC
rnacentral:lncRNA from 1 species